CCACGGGGACGACCCCGCGGGUCAUGUCAUCGACGCGGGACGACCCGC
rfam:Thiocapsa sp. KS1 genome assembly, scaffold: THKS1_scaffold1